GAUGAACGCUAGCUACAGGCUUAACACAUGCAAGUCGAGGGACCGGCGCAGGGGUGAGUAACACGUAUCCAACCUGCCCUUUACUGGGGGAUAGCCUGUCGAAAGAAAGAUUAAUACCCGAUAUAAAGGAUGGGGAUGCGUUCGGUUAGGUUGUGGGGGAGGUAACGGCUCACCAAGCCUUCCAUGGAUAGGGGUUCGGAGAGGCAGGUCCACCACAAUUGAUAUGAGGUACAGUCCAAAAUGCUACGGAGGGCUGGAGUGAGGAAAAUUAGGCGAUGGGCCCUAGCCUGAACCUGCCAAGUAUCGUGAAAGAUGAAGGGUUUUGGGUCGUAAUCUACUUUUAUAUAAGAAUAGGUAUUAGAAGAAUAAGGAUCGGCUAACUCCGUGCCAGCAGCCGCGGUAAUAC
rnacentral:rRNA from 1 species